CCAGACUCCUACGGGAGGCAGCAGUGGGGGAUAUUGCACAAUGGGGGGAACCCUGAUGCAGCGACGCCGCGUGGGUGAAGAAGCGCCUCGGCGCGUAAAGCCCUGUCAGCAGGGAAGAAAAUGACGGUACCUGAAGAAGAAGCCCCGGCUAACUACGUGCCAGCAGCCGCGGUAAUACGUAGGUGGCAAGCGUUGUCCGGAUUUACUGGGUGUAAAGGGCGUGUAGCCGGGUUGACAAGUCAGAUGUGAAAUCCUGCGGCUUAACCGCAGAACUGCAUUUGAAACUGUUGAUCUUGAGUACUGGAGAGGCAGACGGAAUUCCUAGUGUAGCGGUGAAAUGCGUAGAUAUUAGGAGGAACACCAGUGGCGAAGGCGUCUUACUGGAUCGAAACUGACGUUGAGGCUCGAAAGCGUGGGGAGCAAACAGGAUUAGAUACCCUUGUAU
rnacentral:rRNA from 1 species